UUUUGAUUCGCGGUGUUUCGGCAAGCGCUUAGCGCAGGCAAAAACAGUCUGAAGUGAAACGUUUGUGCGGCUGGUCGUUGUUUACGUUUUGUGCGCAGCGCCGUGGAGAACUUGAUAAAAACGGAACAGCUGGUGCUGGAGAACUCGAUCGGUGAUCAAAAGAGAUUUUGCCG